CCAGACUCACACUGUGCCCCCAGACUCACACUGUGCCCCCAGACUCACACUGUGCCCCCAGACUCACACUGUGCCCCAGGGGGGUGCCCCCAGACUCACUGUGCCCCAGGGAGGUGCCCCCAGACUCACACUGUGCCCCCAGACUCACACUGUGCCCCCAGACUCACACUGUGCCCCCAGACUCACACUGUGCCCCCAGACUCACACUGUGCCCCCAGACUCACACUGUGCCCCCAGACAGAGUCUGGGCACAGAGUCUGGGGGGGCUCUCACUGGCUUAGGGCUUGUUGGGGAGACUAGGGGCCCUUCUGUGUAACAAAGGGAACUGUGCCCCCCCCAUGCCAGACAGUGUGAGGAGGGACACAGUGCCCCCAUGUGUGGAACUGGGCAACAAUGGGAAGUGACUGGGGGGGACUGGUACAGUUUCUAUUGGCUCCGCACAGACAGAGGGACAGACUCUCUGUAACACUCAGAUCUGAUACAGUAACAAAGGGAGAUCAGCAUCGGGCGGUGGGGCAGUUAGGGGGGUAGAGUAACUAGCUACAGGCUGGGGCAGUCAGUGUGUGGGGCAGUUGGUUGGGGUACAGUGACCGAUACAGACUGGGGCAGUUGGCUUGUGUACAGUAACAUUAGAUACAGGCUGGGGCAGUUGGUGGGGGGUACAGUAACAUUAGAUACAGGCUGGGGCAGUUGGUGGGGGGUACAGUAACAUUAGAUACAGGCUGGGGCAGUUGGUUGGGGUACAGUAACAUUAGAUACAGGCUGGGGCAGUUGGUUGGGGUACAGUAACAUUAGAUACAGGCUGGGGCAGUUGGUUGGGGUACAGUAACAUUAGAUACAGGCUGGGGCAGUUGGUUGGGGUACAGUAACAUUAGAUACAGGCUGGGGCAGUUGGUUGGGGUACAGUAACAUUAGAUACAGGCUGGGGCAGUUGUUCUGGGGUACAGUAACAUUAGAUACAGGCUGGGGCAGUUGGUUGGGGUACAGUAACAUUAGAUACAGGCUGGGGCAGUUGGUUGGGGGUACAGUAACAUUAGAUACAGGCUGGGGCAGUUGGUGGGGGUACAGUAACAUUAGAUACAGGCUGGGGCAGUUGGUUGGGGUACAGUAACAUUAGAUACAGGCUGGGGCAGUUGGUUGGGGUACAGUAAACAUUAGAUACAGGCUGGGGCAGUUGGCUGGUGUACAAUAACAUUAGAUACAGGCUGGGGCAGUUGGUGGGGGUACAGUAACAUUAGAUACAGGCUGGGGCAGUUGGCUGGUGUACAGUAACAUUAGAUACAGGCUGGGGCAGGUUGGUUGGGGUACAGUAACAUUAGAUACAGGCUGGGGCAGUUGGUUGGGGUACAGUAACAUUAGAUACAGGCUGGGGCAGUUGGGUUGGGGUACAGUAACAUUAGAUACAGGCUGGGGCAGUUGGUGGGGGUACAGUAACAUUAGAUACAGGCUGGGGCAGUUGGUUGGGGUACAGUAACAUUAGAUACAGGCUGGGGCAGUUGGUGGGGGG